AAAUUUGGGUCAUCCAGAGCAUCUGAUAUUUCUUGGGUUGCUAUAAUAUGUCAAUUAGUUUCUAUAGCUUCUGCACAGUCUGGUUUUGAAAUUUCAGUUUUCGGACCUCCUUUCUAGGUUAUUUUCAUAUUAGUUGGAGGCUAAUCUGCUCUGUCCUUUAUUCUCUGUCAUCUAUCUUUCACUCGUCAUAGAGUUUGAUUCUAGGGACAAAGUUGGAGUUGAAGUAAAGGACAUGUAUGCCAAAAUUUUGGUUGCCAUAUGCAGUGCUGAAUCAAUAUCACAAAGGAUCGGAAAACUGAGAGAUGAAGAGCUGCAGCCACAACUUAUCGAGCUGCUAAAGGGCUUCAUGAGAAAUUGGUGGAUAAUCACCUGUUGGAAUUGCAUGAAACUCAAAACAAAAUCAUGUCUACAGUGAGUUCACUUAACGGCCCCACCAUUGGAAGGGUCUGCAAUGACUCGCACCAGCUUGCUACUUUCAAGCUUGAAGCCAAACUUCAAAAUUGGCAUGCUUGCUUUGCAUCAUACUUUUCUUCCCAGAAAGCGUACAGUGAUAGGGCAGUGAACUUGUAUGGAUAAACUGCUAGAUAGGGCAGUGAUUACUGCCAUGAUAGUCGGAUAGUUCUAGGAGGCAGCAAUAAAUUUUUGUAUAAGCUUCAAUCAUUUUGAUCAUAACAUUCAUGAGAAAUAAUUAAAAUGUAACUUUGGCUUUUGUAUAAGCUUUAUUUUCUUCUCUACAGGGUU